rnacentral:rRNA from 1 species
UACGGAGGAUCCAAGCGUUAUCCGGAUUCAUUGGGUUUAAAGGGUGCGUAGGCGGAAUGAUAAGUCAGUGGUGAAAUCUCUCGGCUUAACCGAGAAACUGCCAUUGAUACUGUCAAUCUUGAGUACAUUUGAUGUGGGCGGAAUGUGUCAUGUAGCGGUGAAAUGCUUAGAUAUGACACAGAACACCGAUUGCGAAGGCAGCUCACAAAACUGUAAACUGACGCUGACGGCAG